CUGAAAACUAUCUGCAUUUCUCCUCCAUCCCUCAAACCAAAGAUGAAUUGAUGUAGUGAAAAGAGCAUGAUACUUGCAACCAAAACACCUUGAUUUAAUUCCUGGCUUUCCACUUUGGGCAGGUCACGUGGUUUUGUGCCUUCAUAUCCUCACAUGUGGGACCAACAACAUAACACCUGCACUGCUUGGUUCAUCAGGCUAUUCUGCGAAAUGCACUGGGUGUGUUUGCUUUUCUUCUCAUCCUUGAUGACUACAUGGAAUACAGGAGAUACAUUCUAGCCAGCUCCAGCUUUGUCCUCUGACAACCCCUGCUGACUUCUGAACAGGUUUUUACAUGAAGAGAUCUUAUUCUGUUAAUGAAACGUCGUCUCCUGUUUCCAUUGUGAACAUAUGAACUUAACAGAACAUUUGUGGAUGUGCUUCUAUAGCAGGUUCUCACCUACAGGUAAGAGUUUGCUAUUAACUGUGGACACUUUCUCUUCCCUCUUCAAGAACCCCGCAUGACCCCUUCCCUACUCUUUGAGAAGAGGGCUUCCCCUUAUAAUGUACUGAGAAAACUG
rnacentral:lncRNA from 1 species